UUCGCUUUCUAUCGCGCUACUCGGCGGUGUUCGUCGCGACGUUCGUGUUUGCGUUCGUCAGUGUUGUGCGGGCAAUGAAACAGUUAACUUAUGUUAUGUAAAGUACGCGCUUGCCAGCCGAGGCAUUGUGAUAUUCGUCGGUGUGUGACCUAAUCAGCCAUUAUUAUUUGGAUUGUCUCCGCUCCGUCCCUCCGCAACGGAGUGGUGACCUAUUGAUGUGUCUGGCAGCAGGAAAAAAUGUAUACAGUGUGUAUACGCUGGUAGCAGUUGGUGUGAAUCCGCUGCCAGAGUUUGCGGUGUAGAUUUUGACAGCAGCGCUGACAGAUAGCGCAAGCGAGCGCGUGAAAAAAAUAUGGAUUACGGGAGUGCUUCAGUGGAGGAAAAUUUAUAAUUUAGCUAUAUUUUUAUUAUAUGUAGUUUUCUCGCUUCUUGUAUGUUGUUCACUUCAUUCCUUCACACACAUACAAGUGCGCGAACAUCGCUGCACAACUGUGUGACCGUCGCACAUAGCAGAGGAUCGCGACCAUGCCGCAGUGUAAGUGUGCCCAACAGUGUCCGAAGUGAGCAAGUGUACGUGCAGAAGGUCUCCCGUCCCGUGGUGGUGUGGGUGCACACGAUGAGUGUUUAUACGGGAAAGGCAAAAAAUCGAAUAAGAUUUUGACAGCUCGCCGCUUUUGAUCGAAUGAAAAUAAAGAAAAAAAGUAUCGAUUAUUUCCACGACGGGAAUUAAAAACGUGAACGUAGUGUGAGAGGAAGAAAUUACGCGAGAAGUGAAUCUUGGUGAGUCGACCGAAAGGUCGCAAACAGUGGUCAAUGCAAGUGUGAGCUCAUGUGAAGCCAAAGAAAUUGUAUAUGUUCGGAGCCUGGAAUCAGGCCGAAGCAGCUAUACAAAAUGUUUGAAAUAGUGUCCAGUUCGCGAGAGAAAGCGAGUAAGUGAAAUUCCGUCACCCAAAACGGGAGGAAAACACGGUUCCAGUUAAGUGAAAUAAUUCAACGUCGAUGAUAUGUGCUGGAUAUGAGUACAGAUUUUAACGUGCAAUGGAGGUCGCUCGGAUUCAACGGCACGUCCGGGUCUCGCCCGAGAUCUCCCUCUGCUCAGCCUCUGCCCCCAUGUUCUGACUUGCUAGCGGUGAAGCAAGAAAAGGCCACCGCCAGGAAUACCCGCAACAAUAACAAUAACUGUCUGACUAAAAUUAACAGAAACCUGGACAAAUCUGUUGCAUCGCAAACGGAAAUAAUAAUCAAUGGUACUAGAGUGAACCUGAAGCCCGUCAUCAAGCUGAAAGCGGUUCCUUGGCCUCAAAACAAUUCUGAUAAAAAACAGAAACAACAACAACAACAGCAGCCGCGGGACGAAGACACCCCGAAAGACAAUAACAAGAACAGUACGAAAAACGAUAGCGACGUCGUGCUAGACGAUAAAAGUCGUCGCUCGGGUGGAAAGAGACAACAUUACAAUAUUGUUGCAGGGGAAAACGAUGACGUCGAUACGACUAGGCUGAUAUUACGGCGGCGCAACACGACCCCCACCGCAAAGCGUAGCACGACGUGCAUCGCAUCCACCAAUACCAUCAGCAAAACGUCACUGGCCACCGUUAUUGCUGCUGGAGGUGUAACAACCGUGAAAAGCAAUAAGACGGCGGCAAUGUUAGCCACUAAUCGUGCCGAUGCUGAGCAAAGAACUAACAACCAUGCCGGCACCGAUUCACCCAGCAACAAAAAGAAUGCUCCAAAGCGCACUAUCAAACAGGAACCACAGGAAAGGUCGUGCGUUCCGAUUGAUGUGCGAAUCAAAUGCGAGGAAACGAUUGAGACCCAUCGCAAGUCCAGUCGGCGGAGACAGUUCACUAAUCGGAUUAUCGAUACGAUGUGCAUACCUGAGUUCUACUUCAAUGCCCGCUGUCGGAGUAAAAAUAAAUCCAAAACAUUGAAGAAAAAGAAUCCAAUUGCGGUGGCGGCGGCGGCGGCUGCCGCAGCAACAGGCUCAACAGCCACCAGAAGUAGCAGCCGAAGUACUCCAGCCAAAAGUAAAACUAACUGCGCCGCCAUCACCACCAACAGCACCACAAUCAGCAGCAGAAGCAGUAGCAAUAUUAAAAAGUCUAAAGAAGCCAACACUUCCGAGGAGAGCAUAGUUCCUCGUUUGAAUCCAAUCUUCCUCUUCGUGAAACAGGAGGACACUCGGAUCGUUGAGGUACGAUGUGAGGAUUAUGACAAACGCAAUCGUAUACGAAUAACCAAAACCUCCAAUGGCCUUUGGAGAUCAUUCCCGCGGACGGACACCAGCUCGUCGGUGGUGUUUUCACUGCUGCCCAAGCCCGACGUCAAAGCGGAGCAGCCGGUGAAACAAUCGAACGAGGCACCAGAUGCUGAAUUACCAAAGUACAAAAAAUCACACAAGAAAAAGAAGAAGCACAAAAAGGAGAAGAAUCCAAAGGCUUUGGAUGGGGAGGAGGUUGAGGGUGGCGGCGAGCUGCAGCAGCAGCAGAUCGAGAAUGGGCACAGCUUAGAUGUGCAUAAUGUAGAUGAAACCGAAAACGUGGAGCACGAAAUUGAUGAUGACCUCGACGAUGAUGUUAUCGAGAUUACGCUUUCGGAGGAGCAGGACAUAAGCGUGAACUUCAAGGAUUUGAGCCAACCGGAUGUUAAUGUUGAGGAAAUUAGUAAUCAAAAUAAUUUAUCCGUUGAUAGCAACAAUAUCAGUAGUAAUAGUGAAUGUAACACGAACAAUAAUAGUUUAAAUAUCGCUACCAGCCUGGAAGGAUUCGGUACCCAUAGUAUUAGCAUCUCUAGUGACAUAAAUAGCAAUAAAGACGAUGGUAGUGAUAACGACGUCGAACUGAUACAAACAGACGAGCCCCAGGAAAUGAUGCACCACGCGGCGAAUGGCGGUGGCAGUUGGGGGGAGGAGCUCGAUAACAUCGAGGCACAGAUACCAUCAACCAUCAUCUCGGUGCAGGAGCUUCAACGUGCUCGCAGCAGCGCGCAUGUCAGUGGCCAUAUCGAGCAGCACACAACAACGGCGGCGCUCAAUAAUUUGAUUGCAUUAAAUGAACUUGGGUUUAAUCAUCAGGAAAACCACGCGAACGAGUGCAUUGAGAAAACAAUCUCCUACCACCUGGAGUCGCUACAGGCGGUGGCGGCGGCCGCAGCAGCCGCAGCAGCCGUUGCCGCCAGGAGUUCCUCUUCGAGCUCCACCGAUACCAGCAAACACCAUGGCACUAUUGGUGCAGCGACUGACGUUGAUUGCGCUACCGCUGGCAGUGUAGUGCCCUCUGCUGCCACCAAUGCCACCAUGCCAACAACUAGUGCUAGUAGUGUGAGUGCGAAAGAAGUUGGGGAACAAGGUGGCGAAUCGCUGCACACAUUAACAACUUCAAAUGCACCGACUGUGCAUGAAAUUGACGACGAUGGAGACGAAGUGUGCGUUCUAGAGUCGGAGCCAACACGGCAACAGCAGCACCACCAGCAGCAGCAGCAAACAAAAGGACGAAAUGGAAAUAUGUGCCUGGAUAGUGCAGUAUACGAAAAUUGUAAGACGGAAUCGGAUUGCAUCCAGAACGCGGAAGUGCAACCGCAUAUCACAAUCAGUAGUGACAGUGAGCUGGAAGAUGAUGAUCCGAAGCAUCAUCAUCUGAGUGAGUUUAACGAUUGUAGUGACCUGAUCGAGGGUAUCCGCGAAAUACAGUCCGCCAAUCCGGAAGAUUUAAUACAUGCCAACUGUGGUGAAAAUACAAUGACUGGUGCCGAACUGCUCGACUCGCUGGUGGAGCAACGGUGUGAAGACAAUCAUAUCUCGGGAACCGAUGAUCUCAAGAAUACCAUCUAUUCCAUAUCAGACGAUUACAAUGAUGACGACGAUGUCCUGCUAGAGCCAGAACCUGUUGCGGAUAUAAUCUCGCGUUUGGGUGAAUCGCUAAGCACAUCGCCCAAGUGUUUGUCCUUUAACGAGGCUGGUGAAAUCGAGGGACUUACUGGUGAUUUGUUCGAUACCACACAUCAUUCCUUGCAGAUGGAUGACAAUCUGCCCAAUCCGUUCUCCUCUCAAAAUCCAACUCUCGACGAGCUAUCCAUCACAAUAAAGGACCUCACCGACAGUAGUGAACACGCAAACUCGUACUUCAACCGUGCCGUCGAGAAGGGCAACAAAGUAUCCAACGCUCCAAUCGUGAUAUCGCCCGAUUCGUGCCAAGAGGAAUUACCGAAGGAUCUCAGCUGUCGAAAGCGCGGUGAAAAAAGCACAGAUUCCAUCGUUACCCUCUCUCCCUCGCCGCGACCCAUUUCUCACAGUUCCGAUGCCAUCCAAUCCCCCCAACCUAGUGGUUUACCCGCGGUUCCGCCCUCGCCCGAUAUCUUCCUACAGCCUAAAUCUAUUUCCAAUGCGGUCAUCGAAUCGCUCAUCUCGCAAGCGUCUUCCGCGGCGCCAAAAACUCGCAACACAAUGCAGCAAAAAGAACCCCUGGAUCUUGGCAAGUGUCGAAAAUCUGCUAGCCCUACGGUGAGCUGUUCGGAGGAGGCGAAACGUCAGACAUCCUCCGAGGAUGAGCCCAAAAACAAAAGGAUCAAAACUGACCCAGAGAAUAAAGCACCAAGUACAAGCGAAUCGACGUCCAGUUCUUCUGUGGGAAACAGCACAACCACCGCCAGUGGCAAUGGAAGUGGUUCCACUGGGGUCACCAAUGUGAACGAUUCCGCGCGGUUGGUGGAAAUGCUCACCUCCGGUAACGAUCCGGAUCCCCUCACGCAGCUACGCUUGCUGGUCGGAAAUCCAGCGUGGAAGGUACCUGAUCCGCUAUUAGUGCCAAAGGAUCGUCUCAAUGCGGUGCUGGCUUCGCCAGCCCGUGAGAUACCCCUACUUUUAACCACCCGCCCCGAACUGCGUCUACCUGAGGCAUUCGCUUUCCCGAACAUUCUUCAAGAUCCAGACAUUCUGGUGAUCUCCCUCUCCCAGCUGGAGAAAAUACUUGAAACGCAGGAUGAGCUGCUGAAGUUGAAAUCGAAGAACGACAGUAACAAAAAGGCCGCGCCAAGCCCGCUGGAGACACUAAAGCAGACACUCACUAGUCAAGCGGCGAAGCAGAAUCCUGUGAUGAGUUCCAUGUUGGCGUCUGGUCUCGCCGGUGAUAUUGACGCCGCGACGGCAGCCGCAUUCAAUCAGAUGCUAUGGCUUCCCUAUCUGGGUCAAAUGGGUCAAUUCGGCCCGGAGCUGUUAAAGGCAAUGAUGAACAUUCCGAACUCCAACCCCACGCUGGCUGAUAUGCUUCCAUUUAUGGGCCCACGAUUCCAGGAUUUCUGUGGACUGCCUUCAAAUGCUGCGGAUUACAAACGUCAGCUCGAGUUUGCGAUGUGGCAGGACGCUCUGAACCAGGUGAACAGUGCAAGCCUUCAGCGGAAGCAAGAGGUGCAGAAGAAAGCCGCGAAUGCGGCAGCGGCUCACGUUGAUCGUAAGCCCAUCAUCGGACCGAAGACUGCUGAGCAGCAACGAUCCGUAGCGGCAGUCGCCGCCGCAGCAAGCAUGUUCCAGCAGCAGAACCAACCAGCCAAGAAAACGAACUCCGUUAUGAACCAAUUGAAUCCUCUCUCCAUACCGCAGUUCAUCACCCCAUCGAUGCCAAAUAAUCGCUUCAACAGCAACACACGAACCUCAACCAUCCAAUCUCCAUCCGCGCUGCAGCAGCAAUUCAGCACGGCCGGAUUCAAGAACAUGCCUAGUAUGAUGUCGCAGGCUGCCGCUGCGGCGAACGCCCAAAUGCGCCAGCAAAACCGACCCCAGCAGGUAUCGGUUGCGCAAAAGAACAAACAAAACGCCAACUCCAUGUUCCCCAACAAUCCCUUCUUCAACCUUCCAUCUUCCUUCCAAGAUUUCCACGAGCAGCAGCAGCAGCAACAGCAUUUCAAUCGUAAGCUGCACAAAGAGCAGCACCAGCAGCAUCAUUCCCGUGAACACUUGGCACACCACCAAGAGGAGCAAAAGCCUCGAGUUACCUGUAAAUCUCUCAUGAAUCUUCUCCAACCCGAGAAGCAACAGCAGCUACAGAAGCAAAGCGCCAGCAAUAAACUAGCGAAUCUGAUGGCUCUUCCCGGCAUGGACUUGUAUACUUCCGGUCAGCAUGACCAACUACAGCAGCAAAUGUUUUUGCAGCAUCAACAGCAACAGCAGCAACAACAGCAACACAAACAACAGCAACAACAAUUACUUCAACAACAGCAGCAACAGCUGCUGCACCAUCAGCAGCAAACGCAACAACAACAGCAACAGCAGCAGCAGCAACAACAGCAGGGAAAACUCAAAGUGAAACCUGGAUUACACCUGCUAGAUCCCGCUGCCAUCCAGCGGCGGCUUCUGAACACUGAUGAGUUGCCCGAAGUGGGCAGCACUACCAGCGGUCUGGAUGAUACGACUGACCUAACCUCACCACUGUGGCAUCCGCUGUUUGGAAGUGCUCAGAAACCACCAGGAAGUAUCAUGAGUGGAGCAGGGGUCAAUCCCAGCCCGGGUGUCGGUGCGAGUGGCAGCAGCUACAGCAGCCCAUGGCAAUGGACUACUAUCACCGCAACCGGAGAAUGACAUUAUGGGGCUCGUAAAGAGCCCGCUGUUGCUGGAUCUCAAUCGCAGACAGCUCCUCUGAGUCAACAGCACCCACAAGCGCACAGCAGUAACACCAACAAUCAAAACAGCAGCAGCACCAGCAGCAGUAGCCAGCAGCAAUCGGUGUUCGGAAAUAGCCUACCGAAUUUGCAGCAACAGCAACAGCAGCAGCAACAACAACAACAACAACAAUCACAACAGCAUCAGUCAUCCAUCCAUCACCAGCAACAACAACUCCAGCAACAGCAACAAGCGGU